rnacentral:rRNA from 1 species
AGAGUUUGAUCAUGGCUCAGGAUGGACGCUAGCUACAGGCUUAACACAUGCAAGUCGAGGGGCAUCGAGGAGUUAGCUUGCUAACUUGUCGGCGACCGGCGCACGGGUGAGUAACGCGUAUCCAACCUUCCCUAUACUAGAGGAUAGCCCGGCGAAAGUCGGAUUAAUACUCUAUGUUGUUCUUUGCGGACAUCUAAUUUGAACCAAAGGUUUUUCCGGUAUAGGAUGGGGGAUGCGUCUGAUUAGGUGUAAACGGCGGGGUAACGGCCCACCGAGCCAACGAUCAGUAGGGGUUCUGAGAGGAAGGUCCCCCACAUUGGAACUGAGACACGGUCCAAACUCCUACGGGAGGCAGCAGUGAGGAAUAUUGGUCAAUGGGCGAGAGCCUGAACCAGCCAAGUAGCGUGCAGGAUGACGGCCCUAUGGGUUGUAAACUGCUUUUGUAUGGGAAUAAAGUGAGGGACGUGUCCCUUUUUGUAUGUACCAUAAGAAUAAGGACCGGCUAAUUCCGUGCCAGCAGCCGC